GAGCCUCUGCGGUGUUCGUCACCAAGCUAUAACUUUUGGCGAACCUAUAGAGUACCCGUGGGGGACCAAAAUAGUAUUUGGGGCGCGCAAGCCCGCCACGCAGCGGGAUCCGUAAACCAGAGCUGAGGUUCCCGAGGUUAAGAUGCGGGUUCUCAAAAGAGCUGAAACGGCACAGGUGGAGGCAAU
rnacentral:other from 1 species